rnacentral:rRNA from 1 species
GGCCUACGGGUGGCAGCAGUAGGGAAUCUUCCGCAAUGGGCGAAAGCCUGACGGAGCAACGCCGCGUGAGUGAUGAAGGUUUUCGGAUCGUAAAGCUCUGUUGCCAGGGAAGAACGUCCGGUAGAGUAACUGCUACCGGAGUGACGGUACCUGAGAAGAAAGCCCCGGCUAACUACGUGCCAGCAGCCGCGGUAAUACGUAGGGGGCAAGCGUUGUCCGGAAUUAUUGGGCGUAAAGCGCGCGCAGGCGGCUGUUUAAGUCUGGUGUUUAAACCUUGGGCUCAACCUGGGGUCGCACUGGAAACUGGAUAGCUUGAGUACAGAAGAGGAAAGUGGAAUUCCACGUGUAGCGGUGAAAUGCGUAGAGAUGUGGAGGAACACCAGUGGCGAAGGCGACUUUCUGGGCUGUAACUGACGCUGAGGCGCGAAAGCGUGGGGAGCAAACAGGAUUAGAUACCCGAGUAGUC